rnacentral:rRNA from 1 species
GACGAACGCUGGCGGCGUGCCUAAUACAUGCAAGUAGAACGCAGUUGCGAGCGGGUCAGUAAUGCGUAGGUAACUGCCUGGUAUCGGUGAUAACUAUUGGAAACGAUAGCUAAUACAGCUUACUACCAGAUGGUCCUGCUUUGUAUUAGCUGUUUGGUGGGCUAACCGCUCACCAAGGCAACGAUACAUAGCCGACCGGAGAGGGUGAUCGGCCACACUGGGACUGAGACACGGCCCAGACUCCUACGGGAGGCAGCAGUAGGGAAUCUUCGGCAAUGGGGGGAACCCUGACCGAGCAACGCCGCGUGAGUGAAGAAGGUUUUCGGAUCGUAAAGCUCUGUUGUUAAGGAAGCGGUAAUUAACCAGAAAGGGACGGCUAACUACGUGCCAGCAGCCGCGGUAAUUC